rnacentral:rRNA from 1 species
UACGAAGGGGGCUAGCGUUGCUCGGAAUUACUGGGCGUAAAGCGCACGUAGGCGGAUCUUUAAGUCAGGGGUGAAAUCCUGGAGCUCAACUCCAGAACUGCCUUUGAUACUGGGGAUCUCGAGUCCGGAAGAGGUGAGUGGAACUCCGAGUGUAGAGGUGAAAUUCGUAGAUAUUCGGAAGAACACCAGUGGCGAAGGCGGCUCACUGGUCCGGUACUGACGCUGAGGUGCGAAAGCGUGGGGAGCAAACAGG